UUCGGAACUGUCAUGUUAGCUCUUUUGUCAAUGCUACCCACAUCAAACAAAAUAGUACCUGCAGCAAUUUGUACUGCAUAUGAAAGUGAACUACUGAAUAGAAUAAUAUCAAUUUUUUGUUCUAUUUUGGAGUGAGUAUUCCAAGUAUCAGCAGUGACAUCAGGAGUGAGAGCGUAGUCAUUACUUGUGAAGAGCAAAUGUACGAAGAUGAAGAAGAUUCUUCUGUUAAGGCGUAUGUUGGAAUAAAGUUAGUGCAGCAAUAGAUCUAGGAUUUAUUACUCCAAAUAGAUGAUAGAAUUAGACUUUACCUGAACUGUUAUCUUCUUCAUAUGAGUUGGCUCCGGUUUCUGGGGCAUUCAGUUUUUGUAUGCUCUCUGAGAUUGGACUAUUUCCCCAGAAAUAGCCUUGUG
rnacentral:lncRNA from 1 species